rnacentral:rRNA from 1 species
ACCCCGAGGAAAAGAAAUCAACCGAGAUUCCCCCAGUAGCGGCGAGCGAACGGGGAGGAGCCCAGAACCUGAAUCAGCGUAUGUGUUAGUGGAAGCGUCUGGAAAGUCGCACGGUACAGGGUGAUAGUCCCGUACACAAAAAUGCAUAUGUUGUGAGUUCGAUGAGUAGGGCGGGACACGUGACAUCCUGUCUGAAUAUGGGGGGACCAUCCUCCAAGGCUAAAUACUCCUGACUGACCGAUAGUGAACCAGUACCGUGAGGGAAAGGCGAAAAGAACCCCGGCGAGGGGAGUGAAACAGAACCUGAAACCGUGUACGUACAAGCAGUGGGAGCACCUUCGUGGUGUGACUGCGUACCUUUUGUAUAAUGGGUCAGCGACUUAUAUUUUGUAGCAAGGUUAACCGAAUAGGGGAGCCGUAGGGAAACCGAGUCUUAACUGGGCGAAUAGUUGCAAGGUAUAGACCCGAAACCCGGUGAUCUAGCCAUGGGCAGGUUGAAGGUUGGGUAACACUAACUGGAGGACCGAACC